rnacentral:misc_RNA from 1 species
CCGAGUUACAACUCCCAAACCCCUGUGAACAUACCACUUGUUGCCUCGGCGGAUCAGCCCGCUCCCGGUAAAACGGGACGGCCCGCCAGAGGACCCCUAAACUCUGUUUCUAUAUGUAGCUUCUGAGUAAAACCAUAAAUAAAUC